UUGCUUCAGCAGCACAUAUACUACAAUUUGAAUGAUACAGAGAUUAGCAUGGCCCCUACACAAGGAUGAUGUGCAAAUGUGUUUUAAAUAUUUCACUCUUUC
ensembl:snRNA U6 U6 spliceosomal RNA